CCCGUCAUCACAGACAACCAGGGCUACACGCCACUACACUGGGCCUGCUACAACGGCCAUGACACGUGUGUAGAGGUGCUGCUGGAACAGGAGGUUUUCCACAAGACCGAGGGCAACUCCGUUCAGCCCCCUCCACUGAGCUGUGAUCAAUGACAACGAGGGGGCUGCAGAGAUGCUGAUUGACACUCUGGGGCCGGCCAUUGUCAACGCCACUGACACCAAGAACCGGACCCCCUGCAUGCGGCGGCUUUCACGGACCACGUGGAGUGUCUUCAGCUGCUGCUAGGCCACAACGCCCAGGUCAACUCCC